rnacentral:rRNA from 1 species
CCUCUGACUUUUAACAGCCGCGGUAUCCUAACCGUGCUAAGGUAGCAUAAUCACUUGCCUAUUAAUUAUAGGCUAGAAUGAACGGGAUCACUCACUUAAACUUAUUUUUAUUUAAAUUUAAAUUAAACUUUAAGUCAAAAUACUAAAUUAAAAAGAAAGACAAAAAGACCCUGAAAACUAUUAGAAAUAAUUAGUUGGGGCAACUAUAGACCACUCUAGCGUCUAUUUUUUUUUAAACUCUUAAAUCUAAAGUAUCCAGUUACUUCAGGGAUAACAGACUAAUUUUAUUAUUUAGACCCAAUAAAUAAUAAAGAUUGGCACCUCGAUGUUGGCUUAUAUUUCCUUCAUAUUGCAACAUAUAUAGAAGGCAGCUGUCAUCG